CGAACGCUGGCGGCGUGCCUCAUACAUGCAAGUAGAACGCUGAAGAGAGGAGCUUGCUCUUCUUGGAUGAGUUGCGAACGGGUGAGUAACGCGUAGGUAACCUGCCUUGUAGCGGGGGAUAACUAUUGGAAACGAUAGCUAAUACCGCAUAACAAUGGAUGACACAUGUCAUUUAUUUGAAAGGGGCAAUUGCUCCACUACAAGAUGGACCUGCGUUGUAUUAGCUAGUAGGUGAGGUAAUGGCUCACCUAGGCGACGAUACAUAGCCGACCUGAGAGGGUGAUCGGCCACACUGGGACUGAGACACGGCCCAGACUCCUACGGGAGGCAGCAGUAGGGAAUCUUCGGCAAUGGGGGCAACCCUGACCGAGCAACGCCGCGUGAGUGAAGAAGGGUUUCGGAUCGUAAAGCUCUGUUGUAAGUCAAGAACGGGUGUGAGAGUGGAAAGUUCACACUGUGACGGUAGCUGACCAGAAAGGGACGGCUAACUACGUG
rnacentral:rRNA from 1 species